CUCCCCGAAAGCUAUUUAGGUAGCGCCUCGUGAAUUCAUCUCCGGGGGUAGAGCACUGUUUCGGCAAGGGGGUCAUCCCGACUUACCAACCCGAUGCAAACUGCGAAUACCGGAGAAUGUUAUCACGGGAGACACACGGCGGGUGCUAACGUCCGUCGUGAAGAGGGAAACAACCCAGACCGCCAGCUAAGGUCCCAAAGUCAUGGUUAAGUGGGAAACGAUGUGGGAAGGCCCAGACAGCCAGGAUGUUGGCUUAGAAGCAGCCAUCAUUUAAAGAAAGCGUAAUAGCUCACUGGUCGAGUCGGCCUGCGCGGAAGAUGUAACGGGGCUAAACCAUGCACCGAAGCUGCGGCAGCGACACUAUGUGUUGUUGGGUAGGGGAGCGUUCUGUAAGCCUGUGAAGGUGUACUGUGAGGUAUGCUGGAGGUAUCAGAAGUGCGAAUGCUGACAUAAGUAACGAUAAAGCGGGUGAAAAGCCCGCUCGCCGGAAGACCAAGGGUUCCUGUCCAACGUUAAUCGGGGCAGGGUGAGUCGACCCCUAAGGCGAGGCCGAAAGGCGUAGUCGAUGGGAAACAGGUUAAUAUUCCUGUACUUGGUGUUACUGCGAAGGGGGGACGGAGAAGGCUAUGUUGGCCGGGCGACGGUUGUCCCGGUUUAAGCGUGUAGGCUGGUUUUCCAGGCAAAUCCGGAAAAUCAAGGCUGAGGCGUGAUGACGAGGCACUACGGUGCUGAAGCAACAAAUGCCCUGCUUCCAGGAAAAGCCUCUAAGCAUCAGGUAACAUCAAAUCGUACCCCAAACCGACACAGGUGGUCAGGUAGAGAAUACCAAGGCGCUUGAGAGAACUCGGGUGAAGGAACUAGGCAAAAUGGUGCCGUAACUUCGGGAGAAGGCACGCUGAUAUGUAGGUGAAGCGACUUGCUCGUGGAGCUGAAAUCAGUCGAAGAUACCAGCUGGCUGCAACUGUUUAUUAAAAACACAGCACUGUGCAAACACGAAAGUGGACGUAUACGGUGUGACGCCUGCCCGGUGCCGGAAGGUUAAUUGAUGGGGUUAGCGCAAGCGAAGCUCUUGAUCGAAGCCCCGGUAAACGGCGGCCGUAACUAUAACGGUCCUAAGGUAGCGAAAUUCCUUGUCGGGUAAGUUCCGACCUGCACGAAUGGCGUAAUGAUGGCCAGGCUGUCUCCACCCGAGACUCAGUGAAAUUGAACUCGCUGUGAAGAUGCAGUGUACCCGCGGCAAGACGGAAAGACCCCGUGAACCUUUACUAUAGCUUGACACUGAACAUUGAGCCUUGAUGUGUAGGAUAGGUGGGAGGCUUUGAAGUGUGGACGCCAGUCUGCAUGGAGCCGACCUUGAAAUACCACCCUUUAAUGUUUGAUGUUCUAACGUUGACCCGUAAUCCGGGUUGCGGACAGUGUCUGGUGGGUAGUUUGACUGGGGCGGUCUCCUCCUAAAGAGUAACGGAGGAGCACGAAGGUUGGCUAAUCCUGGUCGGACAUCAGGAGGUUAGUGCAAUGGCAUAAGCCAGCUUGACUGCGAGCGUGACGGCGCGAGCAGGUGCGAAAGCAGGUCAUAGUGAUCCGGUGGUUCUGAAUGGAAGGGCCAUCGCUCAACGGAUAAAAGGUACUCCGGGGAUAACAGGCUGAUACCGCCCAAGAGUUCAUAUCGACGGCGGUGUUUGGCACCUCGAUGUCGGCUCAUCACAUCCUGGGGCUGAAGUAGGUCCCAAGGGUAUGGCUGUUCGCCAUUUAAAGUGGUACGCGAGCUGGGUUUAGAACGUCGUGAGACAGUUCGGUCCCUAUCUGCCGUGGGCGCUGGAGAACUGAGGGGGGCUGCUCCUAGUACGAGAGGACCGGAGUGGACGCAUCACUGGUGUUCGGGUUGUCAUGCCAAUGGCACUGCCCGGUAGCUAAAUGCGGAAGAGAUAAGUGCUGAAAGCAUCUAAGCACGAAACUUGCC
rnacentral:rRNA from 1 species